GUGAACACACACACACGGUUACGUGUUGACAACAACACACCGUCUGUGUUUAUAUGUACCAGGCACAGUUGUAACGCGUGUUUCAUAUGUACACAUUUGACCAAUAUGUCAGUGUGUUUACAGGUUUCACACAGGGCUUAUUGUUAGCUUCACACAGAUUUUGUUUAUCCCGUUCAAGUGUGUCACACAAUAUCAAUUUGUUUUCCCAAACAGUAACACAUUUUUGUACCAAACAGCUUGUUUUCACAAAAUAGAUGACACAAAAUAUGGUAAAUAUGUUAUCACAUAAAUUCUAGUUUGUCCAGCAAACAAAUGUCAACAUUAUUUGGUUUAACAAUUCAAAAUUUUUCAAAUUAUAUAUUUUUAACACAUUUUAACAAUUUUAACACUAAUUUAUUUAAAUAAGUGUAUAAUUUCGAGAUUAAAAAGUUGUAAAAACAAAUAAAUACAAAGUAAAAAAAGUAAAAGUUCCUUUUGAAUAUUGCACAAGUUAAUCAAUUUAUAAUUACUAAUUUCCGAAAAUUUAAAGUGCAAAAUUGUAGAAUGUUGCAAGAUUUAAAAUUCGGUUUCAUUGUCAAAUUUUUGAAAAAGUGGUUAAAUAAUCUGUCAGAGAAGAAAAAAAAAACAAAUUUUAUAAUUUUACCCUCGCAUAAACAAGUUUCCAAACACUUUCCAAAUUCAUCAUUCUUAAAGAUUUUAAUAAUAAUAAAAAUUCAAGUUUUAAAUUUUAAAUGAAAAGAUUAAAAUUAAAUAACGUUAAUUUUUUUUAAACCUAAAAUUUGCCAAAAAUUCGUGUGGGGGGGUUUUUGAACCCCCCCCCCCCAGUACUAAAUUUAAAAUUUUUCACCAUUUUAGGAUUUUACAAAAAAAACCCCCCAUUUAAAAAUUUCUAAAAUUUUUUAGUUGGUGGUUGUCAAUUAGCAAAAAUCACGUAAUGUGGCUUUAAUUAUUUUUGCCUCUGGCUAUAGGAAAUUGUUAGUGGCAGACGGGUGAGUAAUGCGUAGGAAUCUACCUAGUAGUACGGAAUAGCCAUUAGAAAUGGUGGGUAAUACUGUAUAAUCCCCGAGGGGGAAAGAUUUAUCGCUAUUAGAUGAGCCUACGUUAGAUUAGCCAGUUGGUGAGGUAAUGGCUUACCAAGGCUAUGAUCUAUAGCUGGUCUGAGAGGACGAUCAGCCACACUGGAACUGAGAUACGGUCCAGACUCCUACGGGAGGCAGCAGUGGGGAAUAUUGGACAAUGGGCGAAAGCCUGAUCCAGCUAUGCCGCGUGAGUGAAGAAGGCUUCGGGUGAAACCUACCUU
rnacentral:rRNA from 1 species